rnacentral:rRNA from 1 species
AGUGAACGCUGGCGGUAGGCCUAACACAUGCAAGUCGAACGGCAGCACAGUAAGAGCUUGCUCUUACGGGUGGCGAGUGGCGGACGGGUGAGGAAUACAUCGGAAUCUACUUUUUCGUGGGGGAUAACGUAGGGAAACUUACGCUAAUACCGCAUACGACCUACGGGUGAAAGCAGGGGAUCUUCGGACCUUGCGCGAUUGAGUGAGCCGAUGUCGGAUUAGCUAGUUGGCGGGGUAAAGGCCCACCAAGGCGACGAUCCGUAGCUGGUCUGAGAGGGUGAUCAGCCACACUGUAACUGAGACACGGUGCAGACUCCUACGGGAGGCAGCAGUGGGGAAUAUUGGACAAUGGGCGCGAGCCUGAUCCAGCCAUACCGCGUGGGUGAAGAAGGCCUUCGGGUUGUGAAGCCCUUUUGUUGGGAAAGAAAAGCAGCAGGUUAAUACCCCGCUGUUCUGACGGUACCCAAAGAAUAAGCACCGGCUAACUUCGUG